CUAGGCACUCCUACGGGGGCAGCAGUGGGGAAUAUUGCACAAUGGGCGCAAGCCUGAUGCAGCCAUGCCGCGUGUAUGAAGAAGGCCUUCGGGUUGUAAAGUACUUUCAGCAGUGAGGAAGGUGGAUAUGUUAAUAGCAUAUUCAUUUGACGUUAGCUGCAGAAGAAGCACCGGCUAACUCCGUGCCAGCAGCCGCGGUAAUACGGAGGGUGCGAGCGUUAAUCGGAAUUACUGGGCGUAAAGCGCAUGCAGGUGGUUUGUUAAGUCAGAUGUGAAAGCCCGGGGCUCAACCUCGGAAUUGCAUUUGAAACUGGCAAACUAGAGUACUGUAGAGGGGGUAGAAUUUCAGGUGUAGCGGUGAAAUGCGUAGAGAUCUGAAGGAAUACCGGUGGCGAAGGCGGCCCCCUGGACAGAUACUGACACUCAGAUGCGAAAGCGUGGGGAGCAAACAGGAUUAGAUACCCUGGUAG
rnacentral:rRNA from 1 species